rnacentral:lncRNA from 1 species
AUUUGACCCAAUUGCAUCCCCGUAUUGUGGUUGCUUUCUAGGGUUUGGUUAUGACUAUGAAUAAACACAUUCAUUCAUGUGUUGAUUUGUAGCUUGAAUAGCUUCAUCAAAAUCUUUGUGUAAAUGUUUUGUAGGUUUAGGAGGCAUUGAUGACCAAAAUGAAAGCACCAAUAAUGAUAGGGUUCUAUAGCUAUCGAAAUAUUAGAGCAAACUAGAAGACUAGGUUAGGAAAAUAAAGAAGACAAUAAAGUGUAAAUAAGGGAUUUUUAUAUCCUUCAAUGUCAAGCAUAUAUUACAACUUAAAUACUUGAAUCAUCCUUAAUAUAUCUGAAUAACAAAAGGUGUGAACAACAAAUGGGCCUGAACCCUUGGAGGAAAAUAACAUAACUAAUUAGGUGGUUGAUCUUCGCCCCCUGCAUUACUCACACUAGAAAAACUAUCGGAAAAUAUCUGCUAGUAAUAUUUACACUACCGGAAGAUAUUUUCAGGUAAAAUUUUCUCUAUAUGGGGGUGUUUACGCUGUUUUUUCGUAAACAAUCGCUAGUUUAAUUUAAUUACUUGCAGGACCAACUAGUAAAUCCUAGGACAUGUUUUGUGUAUAAAUUUUAAUGUUCAUCAUUGAAAUAAACAUUUGGUAAACCAGUUUGAAAGAACAAUUUACAAGGAAAAAUGUAAAUUAGACAAGAUUCCCUCGAACGAGAGAAUUUGAAAAGAUAAAUUGCAAAAGAAAUAUUAAAAUUGCAUAAAAAUGUAAAAGUUUUACAAAGAAAGUAAUAAUGAUUCACGAAUUCAUACAUGUUCUUCACUUCACCAUUUUCUCUCGAACGCAUGGAUACUUUAGGUUUGUGAAUUUUGUAUAUGAAUUGUGACCCUUAUUCCAACUAAAGGAACUACUAUUUAUAGGCACAAGAAUACACAACUGCUUGUGCAAACGUGCUUCGCCAGCUUUUCAA